rnacentral:rRNA from 1 species
CAGUAGCCACGGUAAUACAGAGGGUGCGAGCGUUAAUCGGAUUUACUGGGCGUAAAGCGUGCGUAGGCGGCUUCUUAAGUCGGAUGUGAAAUCCCUGAGCUUAACUUAGGAAUUGCAUUCGAUACUGGGAAGCUAGAGUAUGGGAGAGGAUGGUAGAAUUCCAGGUGUAGCGGUGAAAUGCGUAGAGAUCUGGAGGAAUACCGAUGGCGAAGGCAGCCAUCUGGCCUAAUACUGACGCUGAGGCGCGAAAGCUAGGGGAGCAAACAGGAUUAGAUACCCCGGUAGUCCCUGUCUCUUAUAC